rnacentral:lncRNA from 1 species
CUUUGGAACAAGAAAAAAGAGUUGGAAGAAAGGAAACAAGCAAAUGGACACCCAGCAGUGUGUCCAUAUUUUGGACACAUAUUUAAGCAAUUCACUUGUGAGGUUGAUCAUAAAAACGGAGGAAGAAGUGGACAGUUGAAGUGAAUUCCAGGGCCAGAGGCAAGAGAGAGAUUUCCCCUGAAUCACUGUUUGCAAACUUUCUACGAACACUGCCUGUGAUCUCAGCCAUCCUUCCUAUAGUUGAUGCAGCAAGUGCUACCUACUGCUCUCCAGUGUGUUCUAUGAGAAAUACCUAAAGAGAAGAGCAUAGUAAACAGGGAGUCCCUGCCAGGACUGACUGGGAAGCGAAAUGACUGUUUGUUGGCAGAAGAGAAGAAUGGCCAGAUGUCCUGAGUCUGAAGUCAGAUUGCCCCGAUUCAAACACGGCUUCAACUCUUCCUAACUCAUGAUCUGCACUUACUGGGCUGAGCUGCAUCUCUGCUGGAGCAUGACCUAGAGUAUGGAUUCACUGCCCCUCUCCUGCCUGGUGUGUAAUGAAGGCUCAAGGUCCCUCCUCAGGACUGGCAGGAAGACAGACUCAGGCUGGGACCUUCUGAUGCAGAUGCCCACGAAGGGAGGAGAUGUAGACAGAUGCACGAUACUAAAAUUGACAAAGUAAAGGGCAGAAGGCACUGGCCAAUUAUUUACAGUUGUAUGACCUUGGGGACUCAAUGCACAAAGCUCAUAAUUAGCCAAUUGGCCCAUGUUAUCCCAAUCUCUGAGGACUUGCUAAUAUUAAUGGAAGAGGAAAAGGAG